CUCGAUCCCAGGCCGAGUUUUCGCUUUUAUAACGGUUAGGCGAACAACUGGGCCUGGUACUAGUUGUCUGCGCAUGUGUCAGUCGUUCGUCAGAUUCUGACGAAUGGAUAUUCUCGUUCACUUUCGUGACAUUUAUAUUCGUGUACUAUCGUGUACUAGAAGUCAGUUCCCGUUUUAUCAUUAUUGGAAUCGAUUGGAAUGGCUCUUAGCUGAAGCUUCUCUCUUCUCUGAAGCUUAUUCUGAAGACUGAACAACAAGGGAAGAGGUAUAAAGCUUUGUCAAGCUUGUUAAGGAGCAAUGGCUAAUAUCCAGCUAUCCCAACAGUGCUCCUCUUGGCUAUACUAACGGACGAGACUGGACAGUUUGAGACACAGGACUGGAGUAUGACCUGCUCAUUCGAGCGUUGCUGGGUAGCUCAGAGACAUCAAGAGAAUCUAUGUUUUCUCAAGCAAUGAGUUACGAGUUGGGGCCUAGAAUCAGAGAAGUCCAGCAGCCUGCUAAAUCUUUUUGAAACGUAAUUUGAAGGCAUUCAAUCAUCCUGAAGUUGCCCUGGGUCACUGUAAUUGUGCUGCAGCACAACUGGCAACUCCCCAGGCCUUUGUGAAGCAGCUCCCUAUGUGCAUCUUUUGUGUACUCACUCUGUGCAUUUUCUGUGUACAAAUUUCUAUUAUUGAUUUAUUAAAUAUUUUUGCCGACCACAAA